CCUACGGGUGGCUGCAGUGAGGAAUAUUGGUCAAUGGGCGGAAGCCUGAACCAGCCAAGUAGCGUGCAGGAUGACGGCCCUACGGGUUGUAAACUGCUUUUAUACGGGAAUAACGCGCCUUACGUGUAGGGCUUUGCAUGUACCUUAUGAAAAAGGACCGGCUAAUUCCGUGCCAGCAGCCGCGGUAAUACGGAAGGUCCGGGCGUUAUCCGGAUUUAUUGGGUUUAAAGGGAGCGUAGGCCGGAUGUCAAGCGUGCUGUGAAAUGCCCGGGCUCAACCCGGGCCUUGCAGUGCAAACUGGCGGGCUUGAGUCCGCGGGAAGCAUGCGGAAUGCGUGGUGUAGCGGUGAAAUGCUUAGAUAUGGCGAAGAACCCCGAUUGCGAAGGCAGCUUGCUGCAGCGGAACUGACGCUGAUGCUCGAAAGCGCGGGUAUCGAACAGGAUUAGAUACCCCAGUAGUC
rnacentral:rRNA from 1 species